rnacentral:rRNA from 1 species
UACAGAGGGGGCAAGCGUUGUUCGGAAUUACUGGGCGUAAAGGGCGCGUAGGCGGCCUUCUAAGUCGAACGUGAAAUCCCCGGGCUCAACCCGGGAACUGCGUCCGAUACUGGAAGGCUUGAAUUCGGGAGAGGGAUGCGGAAUUCCAGGUGUAGCGGUGAAAUGCUUAGAUAUGACAUAGAACACCAAUUGCGAAGGCAGCUCGCUACACAUAUAUUGACUCUGAGGCACGAAAGCGUGGGGAUCAAACAGG